UUUUUUUUUUCUUUCGCUGUUGAAUUGUUUGAGUUUCUUAUAUGUUCUGUGACAUAAUCCCUUGCUAGAUGGAGAAUCUGCAGUUAUCUCCUUCUGAUCCACAGGAGCUGUUCUUUCUCUGUCCAGUGCUUCCUCCAUUCUGCAGAAGACUAUGGUUGGGUGAAACCCUGUCACCUUUGCUUUUGUCACCAUACUUUUGGGGUCAUAUCCAAAGAAUCUGCCCAGACCAAAGUCCUGGAUCAAUUUCUCAGGCAGCCUUUUAAACCAGCUCUUUAACCAUGAAAAAAUAUUAAUUUUAUCUUUCAACAAAAGUUAAAUUUGACAAGGUCUUUACUAGUAGGAGAGUAAUUGUUUUAGUCUAGCACAGAGCAGGAGAUAAUGUAAAGAAGCAGGAUUUGAGUGUUGGACCCAUGACUACUGUCAGUCAAUUCCUCUUAAAAAGAGGAAUCAGCACCAUCAAUUGAUUAAGGUGGGAAAAAGCAAUGACUAGCAUUGCCAUUCGAGUUGCCACUGUGUGUCUUCUUCAAAGAAAUUCAAAGAAAAUUAACGAGACCACUCAAGAAAAUUCUAAAGGAAUUUUUUAAAACUAUUUUUUAAAAAUGUUUCUUUUAUUAUUUUUUUAUUUGUGUUUGGGAAAACUACUAUUGUUUUGUAAACAUUACAUGUUUGCCAGUGUUCAUCAUUAAGAAUCAAAACAGCAUAAAUCUGAAUGUAGGGAAAAUCAUCUCAAUUUCCACCCCAUGACAUUAUCAUUUUUAAGAGUAUAAAAAUAUUUUCCAGGUGGGAGGAUGGGUAGGUAAAAAUGUAGUAGGGAUUUGGAGGCUGAGGCAGG
rnacentral:lncRNA from 1 species